UGGCCUUCCUGAAGAUUAUUCACACUGCAUUACACUUGUUCAACCCAAACCUGAACUCUUUACCAUUGGAGAGGUUGAAACUCUUCUUAUUUCUCAUGAAGAAACGCUUGAAAAGUUCAAACAACUUUCCAUUGGAUUAGCACAAGCUCAGUUAGCUCAAUCAAAAUUUUCCAAUCCAAGAUUUACUGGAAGAACCUCUGGAGGACGAAGAGGUGCUCGUGGUAGAAGAUUUGCACAGGUGGAAGAAAUUCAUGGCAAUCAACAAAUCGUCUUUAUUUCCAAGUUUGUAAUCGUCCAGGCCAUUCCGCUUUACACUGCUUCUAUCGAUUUGAUCAAGCAUACAAUGGAUACUCUUCAAAUUCAGCCAAUGCUGGUUCAUCUAAUCCACCACCUCCUCCUUCCUCCUUCUUUCACCAGCCAUAGUCUUACCUCACUUCCACCUCUUCUGCUGCUGACACUGUAUUGUACCCUGACACCGGUGCAAGCCAUCACCUCGCACAUGAUUCUGCCAACCUUAUAUCUUCAUCUGAAUAUACUGGACCUGAUAAACUAUAUAUAGCAAAUGGAUCUGGUCCACAAGUAAACACUUCUUCAAGGAAUUCUUAGACAUGGACUAUAUUCCUUUGAUAAUUUGUGUGUGCCAACACCAUUAUAUGAUCAUAAUUCUGUUCAUACUUUUUUAGCUUCUUGUAAUCUCAAUCUUACUUUGUGGCAUAGAAGGCUGGGACAUCCUUCUAAAUCUAUUGUAAAAAGUGUCUUUAAACAAUGUAAUAUUCCUAUUAAUCAAAAUUCAGCUACUGAUUCCUUUGUUUGUGAUCAUUGUUGUAUGGAAAAAAUGCAUGCUCUCCCCUUUUCCCUU